rnacentral:lncRNA from 1 species
GUUCACCCAGGCAGGUAAGGGCGGCCCGCCGGCCUGGGGCUUCCGAGGCCUGUAGAACGGCCAGGGCAGGCUGCAAAACACAGCCGAAAGCCUGCGAUUUAACAGUUCCCGUGAAAUUUGAUUGCUCCUCGGGCGCCAGGGGAGUUCUGCAGGAUGGCCGAAGCUGGAUCCUAGUUGGAGGUCUCGGAGCACUGGGAAUACUGUGA